CCGCUACGUGAUCGACAUUUUGAAACUGCUGCACGGAGAGCUACCCUUAUCAUGCACGAUUAUGUUCUGCUGCAGUUCGUCAACUUGGUUGGACCUCUGAAUUGUGACCAGAGCAUCUCUUCGUGACUUGACCCGUUUGUCGAACGAUCGUCGUCAUCGGUGCAUCUCAAACAAGGGGAAGCCAUGCUGGAUGGACUUGCACUCACCAAAGGCGGACAAGUGGAUCCCAACGUUUUAGCCAAAUGGGUCCGACAAGCCUCGCCAAAGGUCUCAGUGGAGAGGACGCUGCUAAAUUGGCUGUAUACAAGGGACAUUACGUUUUACUUUUAACUAUUUCCACAGAUGAUAAUCUCUGAAAUGUCAGGUUGAUUAUGAGCAAAGAGCAUUCCAAGGCCUGGUAUCGCAUCGGGGCGACUCGUGCUUUCAGGCAGUCAAAAGGUCCAGCCCCAGUACAACACGAAGCUGAAAGAGGUUAAUAGUUUCAAAAAUGAACACCCUAAAUAGCACUGGAAGUUGAAAGCCAUCGGCCAAAAGUGACAAAAACAAUAAAAGAAUCAUCUCAUUUCACGUCUGGCAACGAGUGUCCUACAUCUACGUUAACAAUGAUGACUUGGUUGGACCUCUGAAUUGUGACCAGCGCAUCUCUUCUUGACUUGACCCGUUUGUCGAGCGCUCGUCAACAUCGGUGCAUCUCCAACAAGGCUGCAGUUCUCUUUGCUAGCCAUUGCAACAGAAUUUUUGUUUUGGACAACCUUAAAAAAAAGGACUGAAAUCCAGUCGGCGUCCGCCGAGAUAACGUUAUCUUUUAUUGGCACUAUCUGCCAAGAUAAGUCUUUAGCCUCGACAAAAGUGAGUUUCCAAGUUCCUCAUUUUGGUUAGAGAAACAGUCCGAUGCUUUGCGAAAUGGAAUCAGGAAAAAAGGAAAAUAAUAGGCCAGACUCUGGCCACAAUGACGUCGUCACCCCAUCGAGCAGCACUUCAUCACCAGAAUCAAAUUCCUGUGAGCUCCAUCAUCAAGCUGCAAUCGCUGAUAACAUCAGCGAUGAAAUCUACUACACGCAGCUGGAUGAAUCCUUCGCAAUGGAAAAGAUCCUGUCGAAAAAAGUUUCAUUCCAAGGGGAGAAUGUACCUGUUAAGGAUUUAGUUGGAACCAAGCCGGAAGAGCUCCUUUCCAUUCAUUCCAUAGACGAGCUGCUCCGUUCUAAAGAAGGAGAAAUCAAAAUUCCAUCGUUCGGUUCAUCCCAUUUCGAGGAAUCCCUUUACAUCAAGAGACGAGUGAAAUUGGCAUUUAACGAACAUUUCAUCGCUGAUCUAGCCAAUCGUUUGAGAUGCACUAAGGAACAACUUAAUGGGAUAUGCAGAAUUACUUCACAGGGCCAAAUCAAGUGGCUGGUCGAUGGCGAGCGCCGCCAAAAUAUUUGGAAAGAGAUAAAAGAAAUGAAAGACCAAACGCUAGGCAAAAUUGAAGAAGACGGUCAUUUGAUUCAGCUUGACGAGGAGCCGACUGAGCAUCCGGUUGUCAUCAUAUGCGGAGUGGCUGGAACAGGCAAAUCGACUUUCCUCUCCCACUACUACAAUGAAAUAAAGAAGAAGUCUGGAUGUUGGGUUAUCAAAUUGAAUUUAGUUGAACAUUCUGACGCCAUAUUGAAAUUCGAUACAAACAAACCUGAUUUCAUUAGAUUUCUCAUCAAUGAUAUUCACGUCGUCGACAGUAAAUGCCCGUUUUCUUGCUGGCUGCUGAAUCACCGUUUCGAAACCGGCGAGCAGAUCGUUUUCAUGUUUGAUGGCUACGAUGAAAUCGGUAAAGAAUGCCAAGAAAUUGCGAUUCAAAUGAUGAAAUCCAUUCAAAAGAAGGGCAUUCAAUUGUACGUCACUACCCGUUCCCACGUGGCCCUCCAUCUGCAAUACGAAUUAUGCCAGUUGGCUUAUUAUUUGGAAAACUUCAACAAAGAGGACCAGAUCAGUUGCCUGGCCAAGUAUUGGAAGAAAACAUUGGAACUGCCAGAUGGAGUGCAAGAUGGAGUGCACGAUCGUGUGCAAAAAAUGAAGAUCAAGAAGAUCGAGGUAUUUGCAGAAUUGCUAGUGGAUCGGGUGUCGGAUACUCUGAAAGACGAAGAAAGAGCUUUCAUCGGAAUUCCUUUGCAAUGCAUAAUUCUCGCCGAAUGCUACCAGAAAAAUGUUGGCGACAUAGUGGAAAUCAAUGCUGUUGAUGACGAACAGUUGGUUUCAGCAAUAAAAGAACAAUUCAAAAAUGAGAAAUUCGAUUUAGUUAGUCUGUUCAGCCAAGUGAUGGACACAAAACGCGAAAUCUUUCGAGGGAAAGCCAACAAUACCAUGUCCAAUCAGGUAGUGGCUAAUUCUUUUGAUAGUGGGGUUGAGACAAUCGACGGUUGGUUAACGAAAUUAGCAGUCGAAACCAUCAUCACUGAACCAAAUAUCCUUGAAAUGUUUUGGCCAACAAAAUUUCGGGACGAAUCCAGCGAGGAUGUGGCUAGAAAAGAGAAGAGCCAUGCCAUCGACAGUCUGAUUUUUGGAUUAACGUUUUCAAAUGGAGAUGGAAUGCGACCUAAAUUCUUGCAUCGGACAUUUGCCGAGUAUUUAGUGGCCAAAUAUCUUUACGAAGGAUUUCAUCCCGAUGACAAACAUCACAACAAACUGCUAGUAAGAAAAUCCAUUCGAAAAUUGAUUCUGAACAAAAUCUUGGCUUCAGCGCAAUACGACGGAGUUCAAAUGUUUUUCGAUUGCAUGGUGAAGACUUUGGUCGAUGAUAUGGACGUAGAUGUAAUCGAGGAAAAAAAAAAGUGGCGUUAUAUAAUUGAUAAUCGUCAAUUGCCGGGUCGAUUAAGCAAACUGACUAAAAAUCUGUAUACUCAGUUUCUUCGCGAUUUUCAUCCGUAUGUAAAUGCCCUCCAUUUUUCCCUUUCGAAUGGGAAAGGCAACAUAUUCCUAAUGUUGUGUGACUGUCUCGAUGCCACAUUCGAAAAACAGCAAAUCCACUGGGCAAUGUGUACCUCUUUCAUAUCGUCAGACCGUUUCAUUUUGUCGCCCACUUUAAAAGAAAGCAAGUUCUUUAAACGAUUCAUCAGUUAUUUUGCUGAUUCACGCUACCCCUCGGCGUGCAGUGUUAUAGACACUCUUAUAAAACGCAUGUUCCCUUGUGAUUGUGAUUUCAUGUUUGGAAGAAUUUCUUUUGGGAAACGAGACGGAUACCAGGAAACGAUGAAUGACUUACUUCAGUUUUUGGAAGACCAACACGUCGCUUUCGACAAGUAUUUAUGUGAGGAGAAGACAACCGAAAUCAAAACAAUGUUGGUAUAUUUUUUUUGCGAUGACAAUUAUCGUAGUCAUAUGGAAAGAUUUCUGAAGCUUUUGUCGAAAUCGAAAACUUAUAAGCACGAUAUCCCGUUCGCCGAAGUGUUACGUGAAGUUUUCCGGGCUAAAGCGCAAGUGAUGCCUGGGCGAAUUGCUGAAACGCUUAAGAUUUUGCAAGAACUAGGACGGUCUACUCUACUCGUUGAACUGUACGGCGUAGUUUUAUCAAAAGAGCCGGAAGCAUUUCAGAAUAUUUACCAACCGCGUCGAUUAGAAAAACAGAAUGCGAUGACGAUUGACCUCGACAUCCUAUUGAAAAGGGACGAAUAUGGCAUGACUCCUCUUCACGGAGCAGCGUUCUACGGAGACGUCGAAAUAGUCGGCCAAAUAUUAGCUAGAUUUCGCCAGCCGGAUAUCGACGAUGGAGAUAAAAAAGCAAUAUGCAAGGUGGUAUUUCAGAAUUCCACUCCAUUUUACGUUGCCGCUGCUAAAAAUCACGAGCAAGUCUGUUCCAAACUGUUGGCCUUUGUGAAAGACUUUUUUCCGGACGCACUGACGCGCAAGUUAACUAAGUUUGAGUCGUUAAAUGUCACAAAUAUGGAGUCAUUACUUAACAUAACUCAAGAACAAUUUUUUUUUUCGCCCUUCGUUUUGUCCAAAGACAAAAUGGGCAAGGCAACCGAAGUAAAAGAAUCCAUUUACCGGUCACUUUAUCACGCCGUCAAAUCGGCAAAUGCAGGAAUGUUUCAACUGAUGUUGAAAGUCUUCAAAAACGAACUAGGACAUGAUUAUCUAUUUGACCUGUUACUAACUGGUCCGUUUUUAUCGACGAUGUGGUUGGUUAUGCUUGGUGUCACCGAGAGGGGAAAAUUCUUCAUCCCCGUGGCGAACGUCGUCGUCAAUCGAGAUUGUGUGACUACAAAUGAUACAAAUGUUGACUACAAAUGUCUAAAUGACUUCAUUUUCUUCGAAAGAGGAAUACAAAGGGAUGUUUUAGAAUGCAUGGAUGCCGAACAUCUGCAGGGCUUGUUAUCAGUAGAAGGCGCUGGUCCCUUCACCAAGCGUUUGCUUACGGAUAACCUAGAAAGGAAUUUUCAUCUGUUGUCAACGUAUUUUUUAAGGAAUUUUAACGAAAAACAACUUUUGGAUUUCGUGAGAAUGAUUACUCUUAAAGGUGAUAACAGAAACAGCUUUUGGGGAGACUUCCUGCGACAACAUAACGACGAAACUAUCGUCUUUUACAUUUUCGAGUGUGUAUCGGAUAAACUCGGAGGGGAUUACGCUGAAGAACUUUUGCUCCACCAAGACGAUCGUGGCUACGUUUUUCUUCAUCUGUCGCAAGAAAUCGUCAAACGGAUGUUGAACUGUUUACCACAGAAAAACAAAGAGGAAAUUAAAAAGGAAUGGAAGGAAAAGGCUCCGCCAAUGACACACGACUCGUUCAUCAACCAAAACUCUAAAGGAAAGUUAUCUAGUGUCGCAAUCGCCAAACAUUACAGUGAUAUUUUGCUAUUUUACUUGGAUCAUGGCAGCGAAAUGCAACUCAGCAGAUGUGUCGAUAUUCUCACAUCGGUUCGUUCGCUUAAAGGGAAACAGCGCAGUGUAUGGAGUUACAUCUUUGAACAUUGUGAGGUGACGAGGACAAACGAAAUAUUGAAAAUUGUUUCAGUCAUUUUAGGUUGGGAGACCGUGUUGUUGUUGCUGUUUCACGAAAUGGAUGGAUUUCCUCUCGUACUGAAAGCUGUGUCGUGGGGAGAUGACAUUGACGGACGGCUGGACUUGUUGCCACAAGAAUUACGAAAUGUCAUUCAACAAGAUAUUAAACUAAAAGCUGCCGACUUCAUUGAUCAAGUGUUUCGAGAUCACAAAAUUUAUUUUAAAGCAACAAGCGAGCAAUGUUACAAACGAUUGAACACUUUAUUAUUUUUAAUCAACUACAGCAAUGCUCAGCAACUUGAACAAUUCGUCGAAAACAUAACGACGCUGCAGGUUCCAACGAGAACAGAGAAGACGCUUAGCCUAUGGGCUGAGAUGUUUACCCACCAAUGUGACGAAGCCAAAACGAACACCGUUGCGAAAAUGGACACAUUUUUGAAAUGCGUUUCGGAGAAACUGGGCACAGGUGCCGUAAAAAAAUUGGUGUUCCACAACAUUAAUGACAAUCCGGUCACAUAUUAUCCUACAGUAAGAGGAGAGGAGAAGAUGGUCGCGGCGAUGCUCGCUCAUUUGGAUGCCAAAAAUCGCAAAAAGAUACAACGUCAAGUCAACGAGGUUUUAAAAGAAACUUUCAAGGUCCCGCGACGCGGUGUUCUAACUGCUGCGAUGAAGAAAGCAUAUAAAAAUCUGUAACCGAAGUGUUAAACCACCAAUCCGAUAUCAUGAUGAAUCAAUACAAAUGGGUUUGGCUUUGGCUAAACGAUUGGGACAUCUCAUUUUCGUAACGUUUGUGGAUUGACUUAAUCCAAUCUUUCUUUAGCUCACGAAUACAACUCACGAUGCCCAACAGAGUACACAUGAACUAUCCCAGCGCGGCUUACCACUUGACGUCAGGGAGACUAUGGCUGCCGGAACUUAUUGUUGGAUAUGCAACUAUAAGUUGCUGGCCUACGUAGUCCAACGUUGUUUGGAAUCCCCUAUCUUUAAGACGUCAUUUAACAUUGCCUUUGUUAGCAGACAAACUCUUCGAAUGGAAUUCCGAGGCUGAUACCGUACAAAAGGAGCGUCCGCAAGGGCGGAUGAGCCGGACAAAUAAAACAGGAAAAUUCGGCAGAUGAUAGGGGAGGCAGUCGACAUGGAUGCCAUUUAAAAUCCGAACCAGACGCUGAGGAAACCGUCGUUCAGCGUGAAAGUUCUAUGAACGAGUCUGAAGCUGUUGCCCGGAGGAGUACCCAUAAAUGGUCAGAAUCCCGAAUGGGGCAACGGGCCGUUUGUUCCACUCGCCCAACAAGACGACACUUUUAUACGUCACGACUGCAUACGUAUGCAAAUAAGGGAUACACAAUGACG